AUCGGAAGCAGACAUACUUACCAAAGUUCCGGAAAAGCAUCGUGGAAUAAAAACAGUGGCACAAUACAAUUUUUUUGGGAGUGGACAUGUUUUGUAUUUCUCCAUUUAUUUCUAGAAACAUCGGCAAUUCUUUAGAGACAUACGACUAAUUGAUUGACCUAACGUUAACAUACACCGCGUACAUUUUCGACUAUGGGGCGCAGUAGAUCGCGCGACAGUUCCGCCGAUACGAGCACGAACAGCCAAGGCAGAGAGAAAAAAACAUCCAAAAAGAAAAAGCGAAGACGUUCCUCUUCAUCCUCGUCCAGCAGCAGUGCAAGUCCGACCCCUUUAAAGAAAGCCUCACAUUCCCUCAGCAAGAGCCAAGAUGGGAAAAGGAAGGGAAAAAAAGAAAAGUUCCUCAUCUUCCUUGUCAAGCUCUUCUUCAUCCUCAUCAUCCUCAAGUGAUGAAAAGGCCAAGAGGAAGGAAAAAAGGAAAAAAUAAGAAGUUAGAGAAAAGAAAGUUGAAGAAAGAUGAAAUUGGAGGAGAAAAAAAAUAAGUUAAAGCAAUUGGAAGAAAGAAGAGCAUCCCUGCUUGUAGAUUUGAUGCCCCCUCCAGCCCCCCCCCAGCCUCUAGGCAGUGCCCCCCAGCCCUUCCUGGAGUUGUGGCAGAGUGGUGAUAGCACAGAAGAUCACGAACCAGCAAUGACAGGUGAGCAGAAAGCCAGGCUAUCCACCAAGAGGCCCCUAACGAAGGAGGAGUAUGAGGCUAAGCAGAGUGUCAUCCGCAGGGUGGUAGAUCCUGAGACUGGACGCACCAGGUACACCAACGCUAUAGACAACAUGAAUGUUCCCAAGGCAUCUAUGGCUCAGUAGUUUCUCUCUAUUCCUAUAUGGGCUGGGUUUGUGCUGGUUUUUAUUCCUUGUGUAAGGGGAGAAGGAGAGAUCAUUGAGGAGAUUGUCAGUAAAGAGAGACACAAAGAGAUCAACAAAGUAAAUGGAAAUCAAUCAAAGGCCACGUAGCUGUGUGUGCUUUUGGGGGUUAAAAUAUGUUGUCCUCUACCCCCCAAAAAUGCCUACCUAACAUUCACCCUCCAAUCUUGUCACAGCAAGCCACAAAGGGAGACGGAAACUCCUUUCAGAAGAAACUAGGAUUGAACAUGUAGAGGAUCACCCCUGAUGCCAAGGUUAUGGUAGAAAGGAGCCAUUUAUACUAUUCUGUCUAGAUAGGACAGUAGAAUAAAACUCCAGUGAAUGUUUGGCUGUGACAUGAUCACUAUGUGUCUCCAAAAUGAAAGUGAAAAACAACCCUUUCUGUGCAUAUCUAUGACUGUACUGUGACUCAAUCAUAUGAUGUUUGGUCACACUUUAAAUUAAGUUUGGCCAGACUUUACAUUUAAUUGCUCAAAUUAAAUGUAAUAACAUUUAGAUUUUACUUGACCAGCAUCCUUUCAUCACAAUUCACUUUGGACUUUCUCUGAAUGCACCAGAACGGCCAUGACGGCCUGACUGUCAAUGUUUUAUUAUUCAAUUCCAUUAUACAUGCAUUCAAACUGAACCCAAAAACCCAAGUCAGCUGUGUAAUGCUGUUUACGUUAUAGUUUUUUACCAUGUACACUGAACAAAAAUAUAAAUGCAACAUGUAAAGUACUGGUCCUGUGUUUCAUGUGCUGAAAUACAAGAUC